GAUUAAACAAAAACAAGCUGAAAGACCUUCCUCCAACCCUAUUUGAUCGCAAUCCACAUUUGAAUAUCCUGUAUCUUUACAACAACAAUCUACGCAGCCUUCAUCCGGGAAUAUUCAAGACCUUAAUGUCCUUGGAACUUUUGUGGUUACAUGAGAAUCAGUUAAAAGAACUACCACCAAAACUUCUUGAUGAAUUGACUCGGCUGAAAAACUUUGCCGUCUCGGACAACGAGCUCCAAACGUUGCCAGAGGGAAUAUUUGACAACCUGACCAGCUUAACUAGAUUGUA